GAUGAACGCUAGCGGCAGGCUUAACACAUGCAAGUCGAGGGGCAGCGUGGAGCAGCAAUGCUCUGACGGCGACCGGCGGAAGGGUGCGUAACACGUGAGCGACUUGCCCGUCACAGGGGGAUAACCGGCGGAAACGGCGACUAAUACCCCAUACGAUGUGAUGCUGCAUGGCAUUGCAUUGAAAGAUUCAUCGGUGGCGGAUAGGCUCGCGGGACAUUAGCUAGACGGCGGGGCAACGGCCCACCGUGGCGACGAUGUCUAGGGGUUCUGAGAGGAAGGCCCCCCANACUGGGACUGAGACACGGCCCAGACUCCUACGGGAGGCAGCAGUGAGGAAUAUUGGUCAAUGGGCGGAAGCCUGAACCAGCCAUGCCGCGUGAAGGACUAAGGCCCUACGGGUCGUAAACUUCUUUAGACGCAGAGCAAUAAGGUCCACGCGUGGACCGAUGAGAGUAUGCGUAGAAUAAGCAUCGGCUAACUCCG
rnacentral:rRNA from 1 species